GCUGUUGUAGCUCAGGGGUAGAGCACUUCCUUGGUAAGGAAGAGGUCAUGAGUUCAAAUCUCAUUAACAGCU
rnacentral:tRNA from 1 species